AUAUGAAUCACCUGGAAGUCUUGUUAAAUUUCAGAUCUGAUUCAGUAGUUCUCCAUAGAGUCAGAGUCUGCAUUUCUCAUAAGUAUCGAAGUGAAGCUGAU
rnacentral:miRNA from 1 species